GAUGAAGAACGUAGCGAAAUGCGAUAAGUAAUGUGAAUUGCAGAAUUCAGUGAAUCAUCGAAUCUUUGAACGCACAUUGCGCCCCUUGGUAUUCCGAGGGGCAUGCCUGUUCGAGCGUCAUUUCAACCAUCAAGCCCUGCUUGUGUUGGGGUCCUGCGGCUGCCCGCAGGCCCUGAAAACCAGUGGCGGGCUCGCUAGUCACACCGAGCGCAGUAGCACAUCUCGCUCAGGGCGUGCGGCGGGCUCCAGCCGUUAAAGCACCCACCUUUCGCAAGGUUGACCUCGGAUCAGGUAGGAAUACCCGCUGAACUUAAGCAUAUCAAUAAGCGGAGGA
rnacentral:misc_RNA from 1 species